rnacentral:lncRNA from 1 species
CACAGACCCUUCAUUUUAUUCUGAUUAUUUAGUUUCUUUUUUCAUAUCCUCUCAAUUUAUAUUAGUAUUUUCAAAAGCUAGUUAUUUUGAAAUAGAGUAGCAAACAUCCUUAUAAAUGGUUAUAUUGUGAUAGUUAUCAGGCUGAAAAAUAUGUGAAUUAUUGUAAUGACUAGCAAAUGCAUUGUGUUCUUCAGUGAAUAUUUCCUUUUUAUGUUGCAUUGACUUUGUCGGCGAAUAUUUCCAUCUGUAACAAAAUAUUUUGUAAAUGUCUCCUCUGAUAUCUUUAGAUGGAUUUUCUUUAUAUUUGGUUUUAUGAUAUAUGAAGUCUGUUUUACAGUCUGAUUUUUCAUAUAAUGCCUUGUGUGUUAACAGUAUGUUUCAUAAUGGUUAUGCAGCUCAUUAUUAUUCAAUUCAAAAACAUAUGUUUUGAUAUGAUUAUGGCAUUCAAGAACGAAAAAUUUACAGGAUAACUUUUAUGACCUUAUUCAAAACUUGGUGAUUGCUUUUACAACCAUAAACAGG